rnacentral:rRNA from 1 species
UACGAAGGGGGCUAGCGUUGUUCGGAAUCGCUGGGCGUAAAGCGCACGUAGGCGGGUUCUUAAGUCAGGGGUGAAAUCCCGAGGCUCAACCUCGGAACUGCCUUUGAUACUGGGAAUCUUGAGUUCGGGAGAGGUGAGUGGAAUUGCGAGUGUAGAGGUGAAAUUCGUAGAUAUUGGGAAGAACACCGGUGGCGAAGGCGGCUCACUGGCUCAUUACUGACGCUCAGGCGCGAUAGCGUGGGGAGCAAACAGG